CCUGUAAAGAGCUUCGCUCGGAGCAGCCAGCCAGUCAGCCGUGACUCAAUAACUUCUUAGAAAAUGGAGAUGAAAUUCCCAUGUGAAGAUGCCCUUCUUAUCCCAGGGAGAGAGGAACAUUCUCAUCAUCAAAGACAGGAAGCAGAGGCGUUGUCAUGCCAGAGAUUACAUGUGUAAUGUGUGUCUUCUGUCCUCUGGAGGGAGGUUCCAGAAAAUCAUCCUGGCACAACUGGAUGUGGCUGUCAGCUCCCUACUCCCUGAAGGAUGGAUGUGAAUAUUUGACAUCACUCAAGAAGUCGUCCUAGGAAAGAGGCUUUUGAAUGGAUGAAGGUGGUGGCUCCUUCCCCCAGAGGAGUAGGAAAAGGGCCCCACUGCCUGGGGAAAGGGAUUUGAAUCAACCCUUUUGUUAAAAACUUUAAGAUACAUUUGCUGUACAACCCAGUUAUUUUGCUCCUAAGUAUCUAUUAAGGAAAAAUAAAAACAUAUGUUCAUGUAAAGACUUAUUCAUCAGUAGUCAUAGCAGCUUUAUACACAAUAGCCCCAAACUGGACACCACCCAAAUAUCCACUACAAAGCAAUUGAAAGAACAAAUUGUGGUAUAUCCUUAUAAUGGAAUAGUACUCAGCAAUGAAAAGGAGUGAAAUAUUCAUAU